rnacentral:rRNA from 1 species
GACGAACGCUGGCGGCGUGCUUAACACAUGCAAGUCGAACGGAAAGGCCCUGCUUUUGUGGGGUGCUCGAGUGGCGAACGGGGGAGUAACACGUGAGUAACCUGCCCUUGACUUUGGGAUAACUUCAGGAAACUGGGGCUAAUACCGGAUAGGAGCUCCUGCUGCAUGGUGGGGGUUGGAAAGUUUCGGCGGUUGGGGGUGGACUCGCGGCUUAUCAGCUUGUUGGCGGGGUAGUGGCUUACCAAGGCUUUGACGGGUAGCCGGCCUGAGAGGGUGACCGGCCACAUUGGGACUGAGAUACGGCCCAGACUCCGACGGGAGGCAGCAGUGGGGAAUAUUGCACAAUGGGCGGAAGCCUGAUGCAGCAACGCCGCGUGCGGGAUGACGGCCUUCGGGUUGUAAACCGCUUUCGCCUGUGACGAAGCGUGAGUGACGGUAAUGGGUAAAGAAGCACCGGCUAACUACGUG